UCCGACCACCUAAGCCUUGUCUCCUUGCUCUGAUUUUGUCUACACUCCAAUGUUUUGUCUAUUUUCCCAAAAUACCAUUAUUUUCUUCUCUUAAUUACGUCUCAACACAACGUUUCCUAUGUCACAUAUGAGGGGUAAUGUUGUAAAUUCAUUUCGACAACAAGAUUACGUGAGCCGUUCUGUCUGAUUUUGAAACACUAACCGACAAAAACCAAAGUUACUUGAAGUUUCCGAAUCACGAGGUUCCAUUUCGCUAACUCAUUGUCUAUAUAAAGCCCCACGAUGCUUGUUAUCUCCUUCAAAACACAGCUCUCUCUCUCUCUCUCUCUACAAACCUUCUUAACCUCACGAGACAAACAUACCCGAAAAUGGGAGCUUGCGGUUCAAGUGAAUCUAGGAGAACAGACACAGCGAAGCUAAUAUUACAAGACGGAACGUUACAAGAGUUUACGUCACCUGUAAAAGUGUGGCAGAUUCUUCAGAAGAAUCCCACGAGUUUUGUUUGUAACUCAGACGAUAUGGACUUCGACGACGCAGUUAUAGCAGUCGGUGGCAGCGAGGAUCUCCGGCCUGGAGAGCUUUACUUCGUUUUACCGUUAACAUGGCUGAAUCAUCCAUUAAGAGCAGAGCAAAUGGCUGCUUUGGCGGUUAAAGCGAGCUCUGCGCUUAACAAAAGUGGUUGGAGUUGUGGCGAUGAUGGUGAUGCGAGAAAGGUCUCUGGUGGUGAGUGUGGUAGAGUUAAGAGAGUAAAAAGAAAUAGUUGCGGCGGAAGAGGCUGUGGUGGUGGCGGUAAAGGGAGGAGGAAGUUUACGGUGGAGUUGAGUUCGAUAGCUGAGUAGGGUAAUGUGGUUGUGUAAAUUGUAAUUACAGAGUUUUUUUUUUCCUUAAAUCUUAAACAUGUAGUUUAUUUUGUUGUUGUACAAAUAUUCUUUUGGGUAAAUAUUUCCAUUAAUAUCAAAAGUUUAAGAUUGAUUACAGAAAUAAUAUACAAAAUCAAUACAAUACUAAAAGGCCAAAAGCAGAAUAAAGGCUCCUCUCAUGCUGUCCACGUCCUCAAUUAUAAUCAACCAAUAGAAAACCACCGUUCAGCCACGUCAUUUUAUUUCUAUCGGGCUUAAAAUUCACAAUUUCUCUAUUGGACCUUCCCUCAUCUAUGGCCCAGUCAAUAUCACAAAAUAAAACCCUAAUACCCAUAUGUAUCGACGUUCUUCUUCGUCUUCUCCGUUUCCUCAUCAUCCAAACUCCAUUACUGACCCUAACUGCUAUCAAUCAAUCUUCUUCACUACCCUCUUAAUGAAUUCGUUUCAUCUUGCUAUAUUUCUCCUUCUUUAUAAACCAUUUCGUCUUCAAUGGCUUCCAUUCAGUCUCGAAAUUCGUCUCCUCUCAAGAAGUUGCAGCUAUGGCUACGAAACCAAACGACAAGUCUAUUGUCUCCACCGGAAAGUCCCCAGUUGCCAUGUACUUUAACGAUAUCUCACCAGGUCCACAUGAAUCCGAAUUACGGUUCUGGCUGAUACAUUUCUGGGAGGCUAGAAACAUAGCAAAAGCAAAAACUCUUAUUGGUCUGGAAAAUCUCAUGAUCGAUGAACAGAUGUUGUUGGCCACAUGAAGCUGGUCAAUGGACAGACUCUCAUUAAGCGUCCCCGAAACGUCUAGGAGGUACCCUUGCCCUCAGCUCAUUGUCAUCCUCACGGGUUUUCAUGGACUAUGAUGUCCAACCAACAAUUGAUUACUUCAACUGGAUGGGUUCUAAACCAUAGAUUCAGGAGCUGGUUAAUGCGGAGGUGGUAACUAAGGCUGAGACAAUGACUAUUGCAGAAAUAUAUGCCUACAUCAAGCAGGAAUCUGCGAAGGUAAAAUCAAAGCUCUAUAUUUCUCAGACAAUAAAAAAUGCUACUCUAUGUUUUUCAGUCCAAACGAAAUGCUUAGUUAUUUUGAUCACUUGCUUUAAUACAACUGCAUGUAGCUUUUUUUGAGUGCAUAGCCACCAUUGAUGAUGUUGUACGUGACUCUGCUUGGUAUUAUAUUGCCUGCAGUGGCUGCCAUACUAAGGCCAUCAAAGGUCCUACUUCUUUGAUGUGUCCUAAAUGUGGCAACGAUAACGUAGCCGGUGUUCCACAGUAUGAGCUCUAUCCUCAAUACUCACUUAAACCUUGGCUGGAAUUGACGUUUUAUUUCUCUUAAUAACAGGUACCGUGCGAAGAUCUCCGUGUACGACAAUAACGAGCAGGCUGUUUUCGUCCUACUUGGUGAGGCUGGUCGUGAGUUGUCUGGGAAACAUGCAGCAGAAGUAGUUGACAGCUACUUUGAGGCUAAUCAAAACCUUGGAGCUGACCAUCAGAUACCUGUCGCUGAAGCUUUAAUCAACACUAUUGGUCAAACACAUAAAUUCAGUGUCAAGGUAUCGGACCACAACUUAACAGGGAAGACACAGACUAUAACUGUCACAAAGAUUCUCUCUCCAGCAGUUCUGCCAGCUGGAACAGCCUCAGUCGAAAACUAUGUUGCUCUAACAUCCGACGCAGCUGGAGAUCAUGCAAGCGAGGGAAUAAAAGUACCUGUCACAGUGACGAACCAAAGAAAGCAAAGCGUCCAAAACAAGACAAUUAGAGCUUCCACCACUCAUCUCAGAGGUCUCAGGCCUUCGUUGCAGUUUCAGUUUCCUUUUUUCUUUUGAGCAUAGACUUAGUUUCCCUUUAACUCACUAUUUCAGUGUUUGGUUUUCCUGUGAGAGUAGAGCUUACCCACUAUACUCUGAUCAUGAACGCCUUUGUUGCAGUUUCAGUCAUCAGUUAUCAGUUUAAACAUUCACUAAUGCUUCCCUUUCAGUGUUA